GACGAACGCUGGCGGCGUGCUUAACACAUGCAAGUCGAACGAGGUCCAUGCAGUCGCAAGACUGCGGAAGAUCUAGUGGCGAACGGGUGCGUAACACGUGAGAAACCUGUCCCGGUCUCUGGAAUAACAAGUGGAAACACUUGCUAAUACCGGAUGCCGUCUGACCAUCGCAUGAUGGACUGACGAAAGGGCUACCGGAUCGGGAGGGUCUCGCGGCCUAUCAGCUUGUUGGUGGGGUAACGGCUCCCCAAGGCAUCGACGGGUAGCUGGUCUGAGAGGAUGAGCAGAGACACUGGGAGUGAGACACGGCGCAGACUCCUACGGGAGGCAGCAGUGGGGAAUCUUGCACAAUGGGCGAAAGGAUGAUGCAGCAACGCUGCGUGCGGGAAGAAGGCCCGAGGGUUGUAAACCGCUUUCAGCAGGGAAGAAACUGACGGUACCUGUAGAAGAAGGUGCGGCCAACUACGUG
rnacentral:rRNA from 1 species